GAAUUCAGAUUCCACCAUCUGCUAUGGGUGGGAUGAAUAGUCUCACAAUAGUACCACUAGGCCAUCGUUCCCCCUAGAGGUUAGUCACUCUCAUCUCUGGUAUUCAGGUCAUUUUCCCAUAUUUCUACCAAAGCUGUAAUAAGGUCAGGAGCUGAAUAGCCUAAUGGGUACGUUUAAAGGGCACAGGUUAUCACUGAGCAGGUACAACAUGAUAGCAUUGUCAACAACCUCUUCUAUCACUUUACUAACCUCAUAAGGAGUGAACUUCUAAAUAGUAAAUCUUGCAUUUGCGAUUUCAAAACCUAUAAAUUCUAAGAAGUCUCCCCUUAAGUUAUUACCGCGCAGUUUUCUCCAUGAGUUGAGGCAGAAACUCUCACGUAUAAAGGGAAUUCAAUAAAUGUUUAAUAAGGAAUCAUGUAAAUGAAUGCAGGAAUGUAUGACUUGAGCAGAUGAAUGCAGUUGUAUGGCUAACAGCAGCAGCCAAGCUGUAAUCAAUCAAGUAGCAGCCAGAAUGUGCCACCUGCCUUUCUUUCUGACAAGACUACAUUAUUGAGUAGAAAUUCAUCCAUUGUUUAUUACAAAGACUUGACACUUGUGCAUUUUUGCUGUCAGCUUUUCUGUUAACAAAUGGGAUAGUAGAUUCCAUCAGCAAAUAGACCCUAAAACAAAAACUACAUCAUGUUUCCUGCUAUACAUAAGAUAGUCCUAAUGCUUAUCACCAAGUAAGUAGCUUCAACUGGAUGGAGUGUUUGGAGCUAUGGAUGAUGAGAAGGGAGGAGUUAAAAGGGCAGAUAUUACAUAUCCUGCAUCGGUAUGGAAAGGUCCUGUGGAAAUGGAUGAGGUGUUGUAUUUCCUGCACACAAUAUGUUGUCUAUGGUAUGGAGAACAAACGAUGAGAUCACUGUGUGAUCACUUUGCAGAGCGCUUCUCUUCUGUGGCAUGAUUGUGAGUUUUUAGUGGCCUAUCACUUGAAUUCCCCACCUCUCACACUGAUAUUGCAGUCUUUGGUCAACUGCACCAUUCCGGUGAAGCUCAAUGUAAGCUUCAGGAACAGCAUCUCAUCUUUCAAUCAGUUUAAUUUUACAGAGCAAGCAAUACAUGAUCCCAAGAAAAGAGCUCUUGCUUGCCAUCAGCAAGGAGGGGCUUCACAGAAUUAGUACAUCCAAGCUUUCCAUGGAUGACUGGAAAAAUCCAGAAAACGUUUGGAAAGUCUUUGAAGACCGCUUCAUGAAGACAGUCAUCAGGAAGAAAAUGAAGAGUUUGAAAGACUUUUAGCCCAUGUUAUAGCUUAGUUGUAUGUUCGGUAAUUGAAAUAUCCUGAUUUUCAAAAGGAUUUACUGAACAAAACGUCUUUGUCAGGAUAAGAAGUUCAUGGAUCAGAUGUAUUUUAUCCACUAAAACCUUAUGAACGAAUUUCACAUUAUGUGAAACAGCUGACUAUCACAAUCAGCAACAGAAGAUGGCACUAUUGAGUUUCCUGGCAUAUUUGGAUUUUUU